rnacentral:rRNA from 1 species
GACUGUCGCCUGCUAUACUGCAAGUCGAGCGAACAGACGAGGAGCUUGCUCCUCUGACGUUAGCGGCGGACGGGUGAGUAACACGUGGAUAACCUACCUAUAAGACUGGGAUAACUUCGGGAAACCGGAGCUAAUACCGGAUAAUAUAUUGAACCGCAUGGUUCAAUAGUGAAAGACGGUUUUGCUGUCACUUAUAGAUGGAUCCGCGCCGCAUUAGCUAGUUGGUAAGGUAACGGCUUACCAAGGCAACGAUGCGUAGCCGACCUGAGAGGGUGAUCGGCCACACUGGAACUGAGACACGGUCCAGACUCCUACGGGAGGCAGCAGUAGGGAAUCUUCCGCAAUGGGCGAAAGCCUGACGGAGCAACGCCGCGUGAGUGAUGAAGGUCUUCGGAUCGUAAAACUCUGUUAUUAGGGAAGAACAAAUGUGUAAGUAACUAUGCACGUCUUGACGGUACCUAAUCAGAAAGCCACGGCUAACUACGUGCCAGCAGCCGCGGUAAUACGUAGGUGGCAAGCGUUAUCCGGAAUUAUUGGGCGUAAAGCGCGCGUAGGCGGUUUUUUAAGUCUGAUGUGAAAGCCCACGGCUCAACCGUGGAGGGUCAUUGGAAACUGGAAAACUUGAGUGCAGAAGAGGAAAGUGGAAUUCCAUGUGUAGCGGUGAAAUGCGCAGAGAUAUGGAGGAACACCAGUGGCGAAGGCGACUUUCUGGUCUGUAACUGACGCUGAUGUGCGAAAGCGUGGGGAUCAAACAGGAUUAGAUACCCUGGUAGUCCACGCCGUAAACGAUGAGUGCUAAUGGUUAGGGGGUUUCCGCCCCUUAGUGCUGCAGCUAACGCAUUAAGCACUCCGCCUGGGGAGUACGACCGCAAGGUUGAAACUCAAAGGAAUUGACGGGGACCCGCACAAGCGGUGGAACAUGUGGUUUAAUUCGAAGCAACGCGAAGAC